GGCGCGUUGGUCAAACGGUUAAGACACCGCCCUUUCACGGCGGUAAUACGGGUUCGAUUCCCGUACGCGUCACCA
rnacentral:tRNA from 1 species